GUGGUAGUGUUGAAUAGGAGGGAGAGUAGUGUAGUAGUGGUAGUGUUGAUACGAGGGAGAGAGAUGUGUAGGAGUGGAUUGUGACUAAGAAGGGAGAGUAGUGUAGUCGUGGCAGUGUUGACUAAUGGAGAGUCGUGUAGUAGUGGUAGUGUUGACUAAGGAAGAGUAGUGUAGUAGUGACAGUGUUGACUAAGGGGGAGAGUAAUGUAGUCGAAGCAGUGUUGACUAAGGGAGAGUAGUGUAGUAGUGGUAGUGUUGACUAAGGAGGGAGAUUGUGUAGUAGUGGCAGUGUUGACUAAGGAGGGAGAGUAGUGUAGUAGUGGUAGUGUGACUAAGGAGGGGGAGUAGUUUAGUAGUGGUAGUGUUGACUAA
rnacentral:lncRNA from 1 species